rnacentral:sRNA from 1 species
UCGAAGGCUGAUCCUCAUUACGAGGGAUA